rnacentral:rRNA from 1 species
UACGUAGGCAGCGAGCGUUGUUCGGAGUUACUGGGCGUAAAGGGCGUGUAGGCGGCUGUUUAAGUUUGGUGUGAAAUCUCCCGGCUCAACUGGGAGGGUGCGCCGAAUACUGAAUGACUUGGAGUGCGGGAGAGGUGAGUGGAAUUCCUGGUGUAGCGGUGAAAUGCGUAGAUAUCAGGAGGAACACCGGUGGUGUAGGCGGCUCACUGGACCAUAACUGACGCUGAGACACGAAAGCGUGGGUAGCAAACAGG